rnacentral:rRNA from 1 species
GUAGUAAAUUUAGCCUAUUUUACCUUAAUAAUUAAUAACACUUUAAAACUAAAUAAUAAAACAUUUUAUCAUUUUAAUAUAGGAGAUAGAAAAAUUCAUUAGCGCAAUAUAAAUAGUACUGUAAAGGAAAAAUGAAAUAGAAGUUAAAUAAAUCAUAAAAACAAUAAAAAGCAAAGAUUUAACCUUUUACCUUUUGCAUCAUGGUCUAGUAAGUUUAACCUAACGCAAAGAACUUAAGUUAGACACCCCGAAACUAAACGAGCUACUACGAAGCAGCAGCACGAGCCAACCCUUCUCUGUGGCAAAAGAGUGGGACGACUUCCUAGUAGUGGUGAUAAGCCUAACGAGUUUAGUAAUAGCUGGUUACUUAAUAAAUGAACUUAAAUUCAACUUAAAAUAUCUUUUAACAAAUAAAGUAAAAAAUAAUAUUUUAAAGUUAAUUAAUAGAGGUUCAGCUCUAUUAAUAAAGGAUACAACCUAAAAUAAUGAAUAAUGAUUAUACUAAUUAAAGAAAUUAAUUAUGUGGGCCUAAAAGCAGCAAUCAAUUAUAAAAGCGUUAAAGCUUAAUUUAAUAAAUCUUAUUAUAACAAUAAAUAAUCUUAAUUCAUCACAACUAUUAAGUUAAUCUAUAUAAAUAGAUGAAAUUAUACUAGAAUGAGUAAUAAGAAAAUAUUCUCUUAGUGCAAGUGUAAAUCAGAACGAAUAUUUCUCUGAUAAUUAACGAACCUAUUGAGGGAACAAUAUUAUUUUUACAAGAAAAAUCUAUUUUAUCCAUCGUUAACCCAACACAGGAGCACAUUAGAAAGAUUAAAAAUAUAGGAAGGAACUCGGCAAACACGAACUUCGCCUGUUUACCAAAAACAUCGCCUCUUGCAAUUAAGGUAUAAGAGGUCCUGCCUGCCCAGUGACACCAAGUUUAACGGCCGCGGUAUUAUGACCGUGCAAAGGUAGCGUAAUCACUUGUCUUCUAAAUAAAGACCAGUAUGAAUGGCAAGACGAAAGUUCAACUGUCUCCCUAAAUUAAUCAUUGAAAUUGAUUUCUCCGUGCAGAAGCGGAAAUAUAAAUAUAAGACGAGAAGACCCUAUGGAGCUUUAA